GACGAACCGAGCGAACGUUAUUCGGAAUCACUGGGCUUAAAGGGCGCGUAGGCGGGUCGGCAAGUCAGGGGUGAAAUCCCACGGCUCAACCGUGGAAGUGCCUUUGAUACUGCUGAUCUCGAGGGAGGUAGGGGCGUGCGGAACUUCCGGUGGAGCGGUGAAAUGCGUAGAUAUCGGAAGGAACACCGGUGGCGAAAGCGGCGCGCUGGACCUCUUCUGACGCUGAGGCGCGAAAGCCAGGGGAGCAAACGGG
rnacentral:rRNA from 1 species